rnacentral:rRNA from 1 species
ACAGGUGCUGCAUGGCUGUCGUCAGCUCGUGUCGUGAGAUGUUGGGUUAAGUCCCGCAACGAGCGCAACCCUUGCCUUUAGUUGCCAGCAGUUCGGCUGGGCACUCUAAAGGGACUGCCGGUGUUAAACCGGAGGAAGGUGGGGAUGACGUCAAGUCCUCAUGGCCUUUAUGACCAGGGCUACACACGUACUACAAUGGCCGAUACAAAGGGCAGCGACACUGCGAGGUGAAGCCAAUCCCGUAAAAUCGGUCUCAGUCCGGAUUGGAGUCUGCAACUCGACUCCAUGAAGUUGGAAUUGCUAGUAAUCGUGGAUCAGCAUGCCACGGUGAAUACGUUCCCGGGCCUU